GGCACCUUCCCAGGGCCAGCGCUUGGGCACGGCACGUGCAUGUGUGUGCGUCUGUGCUCCUGGUGUGGCCUUGGGCUCAGCCCUUCUGUCUCUGGUCCUGAACUGUCCCCUGUGAGAUCCACGGAGCCCGCCCCGGCUGACACCUCGGCUUGUGAGGAACCCUGAGACCGAAGACCCAGCUAAUCCUGGAUUCCUGACCCGAGACACUGGCCCAGGAGCUGGGAGCUGGGGUUCCCUCCGAGGCCCAGACAGGAAACUGCGCCUCGAGUCGCUCUGAAAUGGAAAAGGUCGGCACGUAUCCGGGUUUACCUGGAGCCCUGAGCUCGAGUUCCUCCCCCCCAGCACCCUGAAGCGGACCGCUGAGAACCAGGCCCGUAAACUCCUUCGUGACCGAGGGGCCCUGCUGAGCCCGAUUCUGCGAAGCUGCCAGACUGGGUGUCUGUAAGAGCCCCGUCUGGGAGAAUUGUCCUCCACGGGCCCCGGGGCUGUGUCCCGGGCACCUUUGUGGCUGGUGGCCUUGGCCGGGGAUGUGCCCCAACCACCCCCAAAACGGCUUGCAUGACUGUUCCUAAAUACGCAGCCAUUUCGAGAGUUGGUUGUUGAAUACAGCCACAGCAGCUCACAAUUAAAUGCAUUUUAUUAACAACAGGUGAUAAAUACCCCAAACUCA